UUUUGUUUUAUAAGAAAUUUUGUUGUUUGGAUUUCUUUAAUUCUUUCGGCAUAACAUUUAUCAUUAUUUUCAGGAUUGGUUUCGCAAUCACACUGGUGACUCUGAAGUUGAACGUGGUUUUAGACGAGGAGAAGACCCCGGGUUAGCACUAUUUUGUUUUCCACUUUGUUUCUGGAGUUGAAAGUGCUAGAUCUUACAUUUGAAGAUUUGUUGAGACCAUGUGUAUUCUCUUCCUGUUGCAUAAAGG
rnacentral:lncRNA from 1 species